rnacentral:misc_RNA from 1 species
AGAAAUAUCUUUGUUUUGGUAUUUAGGUGCGACGGUCUCAUUAUCAUAUGUAUAAUGUACAAAAGGGCACAGCCAGUGAGUACCUAUGGAGAGGGAAUAGGCAUAGCAUGAGUACAUUAUGUGUAUGGUAAGGGCUCCCGGCUCAUUCAGAUUUUGGUCUGCUGAUCUGUCUGUUGUGCUAAUAGGGGAAAAUCUGCUUCAUAAGAGGCAGGUGAGAACAUCAUACAGGGUUGCACUAAAGGAAGUGCAGGAGGAGGAGAAGAA